UGUAACGAUACUUUUAUAUGCAAUAAGAUAUGGUGUUGCAAUGGAAACAUCCAAUUAUGAUCUUGCUCCUAAUGUCAUCCGAGACAUUGUGUGGUACGGAUAUGACCACCUAGUACGUGUAAUUGCAAAAUGUAAAAAUGGAGAACAAAGUGUAACCCCAGCCACUGAUCCUGAGGCAACAGCCCAUGUUAACGAUGAUUUAGUUGUAGUUGUAAGUGGCACAGAUGCAGUACCAGUACCGGUAGUUUUAUCCGCAAAGACGGACAUCUCAGAAAAACCUGUGCAUAAUGUGAUAGCUGGGGAAAAAGGUAGCAAAAAUAGGAGAACAAUAAAACGCAAAUUCUGUUGCCUUCCAUGCCAAAACACGGAGAAAAUUCCAACUGGCGAGGACUACGUUCAGUUAAGCAAUCUUGGAGUAGGUCUCAAAGAAGUUUCAGUCUUCACCGAUGCUACUGCAAAGGAAUUGCAGGAGUAAUUUUCAGGACUUACCCACCUUUAGCUGGACACCAAUAUGUUUAUGGAAAAUCGUUCCGCAAGACUCUGCCAGCUACUUUUUUACUGGAUAUGUCCUCGGACAUGGCAUAUGUUCAGCGAACUAAUAAUGGUGCUGGAAGCAUAAUUUACAUAAUGCCCAUUGGCCGGAAUUUGGAAUUCGAUGUAGUUGACAU